rnacentral:rRNA from 1 species
CUAGCCGUAAACGAUGGAUACUAGGCGUUGUGAGUAUCGACCCUCACAGUGUCGUAGCUAACGCGUUAAGUAUCCCGCCUGGGGAGUACGCGCGCAAGCGUGAAACUCAAAGGAAUUGACGGGGGCCCGCACAAGCGGUGGAGUAUGUGGUUUAAUUCGAUGCAACGCGAAGAACCUCACCAGGACUUGACAUGUCGCGAAUCUCAGGGAAACUUGAGAGUGCCUUCGGGAGCGCGAACACAGGUGGUGC